UCUGCGAUAUUCCAUUAUUGAAUCAAACCAAAAACACCAGAAGUCCCCAAAUCGACCACUAAAUCCCGGGAAUCAGAAGUUAAACAUCAUCAAAUGUGAAAGAUUCUUCUUAAUAAGUCCUCCAUUGAGGACAAUAUAAUACAAGCAUCGACUGGUUAAGUUUCUUCUUCGUACAUGCUCCAGUGAUGAAUGAGGACCAUAUAACCAAAGAACAGUAGAAGAAAUAUAGAGAUUUUGAAUGAUUCAAGGUUUUACCGUUGGUUGGCAGUACGAUGUUUUGUGAUUGUAUACUUUGAAGAAUUGUUCAUGCAGUAUGAAUGUUGUAUGAUCAUGGGAUGAGGGAUAAUUUUGGUUUUCUCUAGAUGUGAAGUUACAAG